rnacentral:rRNA from 1 species
CUUGCUCACAGGCACAUCAUAUCCAUAACACCUGUGCACUUGUCGGAUGGCUUAGUGAAGACCGCAAGGUUGAAUCUAUCCAUCUACUUUACAUAACAAUUCUGUAACAAAUGUAGUCUUAUUAUAACAUAAUAAAACUUUCAACAACGGAUCUCUUGGCUCUCGCAUCGAUGAAGAACGCAGCGAAAUGCGAUAAGUAAUGUGAAUUGCAGAAUUCAGUGAAUCAUCGAAUCUUUGAACGCACCUUGCGCUCCUUGGUAUUCCGAGGAGCAUGCCUGUUUGAGUGUCAUGAAAACCCUCAACCCUAGAUUGGUUAAAACCUUUCUUUGGUUUGGAUUUGGACGUUUGCCGAUGAUAAGUCGGCUCGUCUUAAAAGUAAUAGCUGGAUCUGUCUCGCGACAUGGUUUGACUUGGCGUAAUAAGUAUUUCGCUAAGGACAUCUUCGGAUGGCCGCGUUGCAGGACUAAAGACCGCUUUCUAAUCCAUUGAUCUUCGGAUUAAUACUCUUGACAUCUGGCCUCAAAUCAGGUAGGACUACCCGCUGAACUUAAGCAUAUCAAUA